AACUUCGCCUUCCUUCUUGUGCUCGGGUAUCAAAUGAUUGACUGUGAUUGGCUGCAAUACAACUAAGACGCCGUUGCCUAACAACGUACCAACCAAUCAAAUCGUCAGCAUUCUAUAAAACCCACCAGCAUAACUUAUGUCUAUGAGAAAAAGUUCCAGCUUGUGAUUUACAUGAUAAUCUGGCGCCCCUUAGUGGCCACCACUGCAAACUGUACUUGGUGUACGGUUACCUUGACAACUACCUGUAUCUCUUUCCCAGUUGCUGGUCACUUCUAAAGAAAUUUACUGAAGUAGCUGCAAAUAUUAUAUAUUUACCGACAUUUUGCGGGAUAAUCAAGACUAUUAAAAUGGAUACAUCGGUAGUGCUGCCGGUUGAAGCUGAGGGGUUUAUUCAAAGUCUGGAAACAUUUUCCCUCAAAGAAGUGGGCUCUGUGAGGUGGUUCAGACAGCAUGAGUUUAUUGAAAAGCUAAACAUGCAGGCCAUCCUGAAUGCUUCGGCCAUGCAUGAUGAGUUUGUCAAGGAGCUCCUGGUGUCCUUUGGAAAGAUACCAGUUCUGGUCCAUGAGAUGAUCCUUGUGGAGGUGUGGAAGCAGAAAGUGUUUCCCAUCUUAUGCCAGCUGCAGGACUUCAACCCUAAGAACACGUUUCAUCUUUACAUGGUGAUCCACCAUGAAGCCACAAUUAUUAACCUGCUUGAAACAAUAUUGUUUCAUAAGGAUUCCUGUGAGGCAGCUGAUGAUUCUCUCCUUGACUUGGUGGAUUACUGUCAUCGUAAACUGACCCUGCUGGCCAGUGAAGCAACCAAGUCCCAUGCUGCUGCUGCUCAUGAUCAUCAGAACCAGAUAUCCUCUCUAGAGGAGCUGCAGAUGCAGAGUGCUGCACUGGAGUUUGACAUCUCCCUGAAAGCGAUAUCUGUGCUGAGCUACAUCGCAGAUCAUACCGACAGCAUCAGCGUCAUCAACCGUAUGCUUUGCACACACAACAUGCCCUGUGUGCUGGUUCGGCUGGUCGAGUCCUGCCCCUGGAGUCGGAGCAACAAAGGCCAAGUAGAAAAGUACAAGAAUGGCAAAUGGCAGAGGAUUCCUGCAGAGGACCAUGUGAAGAUGACUAAAGUUGACGGCCAGGUCUGGCUGGCGCUUUACAGUUUGAUCCUGAAGGAGGAGUGCCAAAGAAAAUACGACUUCAACAAUUUCAACAAGAACCAACUCCUAAAGCUCAGGCGUUUCCUGACAGACGUGCUGAUCGAUCAGUUACCGAACCUGGUUGAGCUCCAGCGCUUCCUGGCCCAUUUGGCUGUGACAGAUCCAGCCCCACCAAAGAGAGACCUGGUUCUGGAGCAGAUCCCAGAGAUGUGGAACCAGAUUAUCAGAGAGAAUUCUGGGAAGUGGAAAGGAAUAGCUAAAUAUCAGGUUAAAGAAUCAUUCAGCCCGUCUGACAGCGACUUGCAGCGACAGGCCCAGAGGUUGGCGCAGACUUACAGCCUGGAUGUGAUGGAGCGUUUGCUCCCGGAGAAACCAAAGUGUGGAUGCUGCGGGAAGGAGGCUCCAAAAAGAUGCUCUGGAUGCCAGGGAGAGUGGUACUGCAGCAGACAGUGUCAGGUGAAGCACUGGCCUAAACACAAGCAGGCCUGUCAGCUCAUGACUGAGACCAUGCAGAAGAUCCAGGAAGACAAACAGCUCGGAUAAUUUAACCGACUAACGUUUAAAGCUAGGAAACAAACCCGCUUUUAUUUGUGUGACACUGAAUCCCAACAUUUUAGAAAACUUUCUAAACUUCCUUGCUGGCUCACCUUAACGGCCGUUUCCAAUCUGAUCAUCAGCAGCAGCACAUCGCUGGAGGUCAGGAAAAGACAGGAUGGACGGAUGUUUGAAACAGUUUUUUAAGGCUCCAGGAUUUUCAGACUUGAAAUCAAAUUCAUCAUUCGAGCGAAAAUAAAGUUGUCCCCAAUGUUUAACUUUAUCUUCAAGGUUUAACAUCCAGAGCUGUGCAGAUCAUUACCAACUUCAGCUGUGAUCUCCACAGAAACAGAGACGCUCAGCCUUCAGCGAAACCACCAGUCAGAUCCACUUUUCUGUCUGCAUCCCGGGACGAUUACAGCCAAUUUAUAUCCGAGGAACUGAGCCCAACAUUGUCUCAGUUCCUCUUUUUUGGAGAAAAAGAGAAUAAAAUGAGCCAGCAGGGAUUAGGACGAGAUGAAGCAGUAAAAGUACUUCACUAGA